UAAAAUGUCGUACAGAAAAUCAGUUGCCGUUCGCAUCCAUUUUUCUUCAUUCUCUACCCUACACGCGUUUAUUUGUAGUGUCUUUUUUUCUGCGUUUUCAAAGCGACAUUAGGUUAGUAAACGUUUCAACAGAAAUUCAAGCAGAUCAACCAACCAGACACAACUUUUACACACCGUUCACUAAUUGCAUUUUUAGAUCACCAGACGAACGCAGCUAACAAAAUGGAGAACAAAGGGGACCCUAGUCCAUCUGAAGCAAAACAAAAUGACUUGCCAAAUGGGCAAAUUUAUGAUUUAUGCGUGGAGCCGGGACGGAAGAGAACCAAUUCGGAUAGCCGACGAUAUCCGAAGAGCUUGAGAAACAGAGACUCAACGCCGCAUCGACUGUGCCAGUUUUUGAAACGAGCAUUCAUAUCACCGAGCAAGUGAAAUCAUUUGCAGAUUUGCCGAUUGAGAUGCUGGAUGAGAUCUUUAAUAAUGUUACCACAUUCGAUCUGUUAAAUUGCCGACUGGUAAAUCGCCGAUGGAACGACGUUUCAUCUCGAAUCCUGC